GACGAACGCUGGCGGCGUGCUUAACACAUGCAAGUCGAACGGAAAGGCCCUGCUUUUGUGGGGUGCUCGAGUGGCGAACGGGUGAGUAACACGUGAGUAACCUGCCCUUGACUUUGGGAUAACUUCAGGAAACUGGGGCUAAUACCGGAUAGGAGCUCCUGCUGCAUGGUGGGGGUUGGAAAGUUUCGGCGGUUGGGGAUGGACUCGCGGCUUAUCAGCUUGUUGGUGGGGUAGUGGCUUAACAAGGCUUUGACGGGUAGUCGGCCUGAGAGGGUGACCGGCCACAUUGGGACUGAGAUACGGCCCAGACGCCUACGGGAGGCAGCAGUGGGGAAUAUUGCACAAUGGGCGGAAGCCUGAUGCAGCAACGCCGCGUGCGGGAUGACGGCCUUCGGGUUGUAAACCGCUUUCGCCUGUGACGAAGCGUGAGUGACGGUAAUGGGUAAAGAAGCACCGGCUAACUACGUG
rnacentral:rRNA from 1 species